rnacentral:rRNA from 1 species
UACGGAGGGUGCAAGCGUUAUUCGGAUUUAUUGGGCGUAAAGGGCGUGUAGGUGGUCUGAUAAGUCAGGUGUGAAAGCCCCUGGCUCAACCAGGGAAGUGCACUUGAAACUAUCAGACUUGAGUACGGGAGGGGGAAGUGGAAUUCCUGGUGUAGAGGUGUAAUUCGUAGAUAUCAGGAGGAAUACCGGUGGCGAAGGCGACUUCCUGGACCGAUACUGACACUGAGACGCGAAAGCGUGGGGAGCAAACAGG